GAACUUGGAAUUCACCCCUGAACCGCCUAUAUUGGUCGUGCCGGGGCUUGCUCCGGAUAUGGCGAUAAACGCGCUUGUAAUAAGCGGACCGGACCCGGGUGCGAUUCCCGGCGGCUCCACCAUUUCUCCCCGCGUUAUCGGCGGAGGCUUAUGGGGCCGACUAGCAUCGACGGACGUGUAAAGAAGACUGCUUUCGCUCGUCCUGGCCCACCGUAUCGGGCCAUUUUCUAACUGCGAACGAUAACUUCGCUGGAGAAGUCCGCCUCGCC
rnacentral:tmRNA from 1 species